CACUGGUUCUACAUUUUUCAGCAGAUACUGCAAAAUCGACAGCUUCCUCAGCAGGAGGUGGACAUUUUGAUUGUCUUUUUUUGAGAACAAGAGUUUGCACUCCAUAUUCAAGAUGUGGAGAAGGACCUGGAUGUCUAUGGUCAGGGGGAGAGAAAAGCUGAUUUCCAUCAUCACCUGGAAAGUCAAUGGCAAAGGGGGAGACAGAUCCACCCUCCUCAGCUGGCAGGCAUCCAGCCCUCUCCCGUCUGUCUGUGGUGCCUUCAGAGAUCCCUUGAUGCUCAUAACAAGGUCAUUUAUGAAUGCUCGUUAUGCUCAGCCUUCUGCACAGACGCUCCAGGAAAUACAAGUGGACUCUGAGCAUGAUCGUAGUAUAUUUAUACAUUAGUUAUUCUUUUAACCUUGGUCACCAGCAGUGUCCUGAUCUAAGACAUCUGUGAGUGGCUGAUUUGAUGGUCUUCAUCACAGUGAGAAGGGCAACAGCUCGAUCUCUACAGAGCAAACAGUCUCUACUGCAUUACUUUGACAAACAUACAGAAGGACAGGUGCUUGUCCUGCUCUUCACAUUAUGACAGCAAGAGGUUCAUCUUCAUUCUGAGUCAUUCACUGCUGGUCCGAUGUUUCUGUGUGCUACUUUAGAUAAUUAGGAAUAAACAACUGCAAUUUUCUUGCCUGUUCCCUCUUCCUUCAAAUACAAGAACAACAUGUGUUUGGGACAUCUCCAGGGAAUAUUUUCAACAGACAAAGUGAGACUGAGCAGAGAACUCUUCACUGCUAGCGUUAUUUUCAGAUAGUUUUGUGAAUUCUUGCAUUUCGUGUUUAUUUUCAGAGGAAGAUGUUAAGGCACUGACCUGUUCCAACAUGAGUAAGACCCAGGACCUGUAGACACAGGAGACAGUGUUCAGUACCCUUCACGAUUUGCCCUGAAGCCCUGGUCACCACCAACACACCUUUGCUGCCGGCUGGGCCAUGGGGCUCCUAUGUGUCCAGGCAGCUUCAGUGUGUCACUGAGAACACGAGAACACGGCCUGGGCAACUGGAAGACCAAGACUGUGGAGAAUGCAGCCCAUCCCUACAGCAUCAACACAGCCAGGGAUCUUUCCCAGACCUUCCCAUAACCAUCUUGAACUACUUGCAGUCCUUCCCAGCCAGGGGGAGCUUUGUGGGCACAAGCUGGAUAGUUGGGGAAAAACAAAAGGGAGAAUGACUGCUUGGAAGGGAACACCUUGCUGGGCCACCAGCCACAUUUUUAGCUCCUGUAUUUACAAUCUGUCCCAAAACUGAAGUCAAGCCAACAGUGUGAAUCCUACAGAAAUCUCUCCUAACAGGGAGACUAUUGGUGAAGACCAUCUAAGGGCAGGGGGAAGCCCCUGCUACAGCCAGGAAUGCCAAUAAGAGGUAAUGUGGGACAAGCCCUUGUCAGUCAUUUUCCAUCAGCAUUUUCUUCACUGGAAGCAUUUUACACUGAAGGUUUUCUUAAUUGCAGUGCACUCUGGGUUUGAAGCCAAACACAGAAAUUUAUUUUGCUUUGGGGCCAUGGCUCAGCUUAAGAAUAAAUUGCCUUUGGGUGGACACAGGAAGGGAGCAGGGUACAUUUCAUCCUCUGGAGUUACCCCUCGGCUUCUAGUUCAGACUCAGGCAAGAACAAUAAACAAGACCAAGUGCCGGUGCCCCUCCUGCCUGAAUUCUCAUGGCACGUGUUGCUCUCACGCGGCUCCUACCUGAGACCGGAGAGCUUUGGAGUGAGUUACAAUAACUUUAGUCAGUGCCUCCCUUCUGCCCUGCACCGCUUGAUCUUAUCUGACUGGGAGAACGAUGGAAAAUUUUUUCUUGCGGAAGGGAAAACAUCAGAGAUGUUAUGAAAUCUAUUCCUGGCACUUCCUUCAUCUGCGGUGGCUGGAAUGAUUUAAAAACACAAGUGGCUUCCUUCUCUUACCUGGCCCCUUUCUUCACAAGGGUAAACCUUGCUGGAGGGGAUUGAAAAGCCUCCGAGCUGGAAAUGCCUGAGUGUCUUGCAGACUCAUGGCUCCUUCAGAAUUGUCUCUGUGCUUGGGCCCUGGCCCUACACAUCUGUCAACAGGGCAGAACACAUGUCUGCCAGCUCUUCCCACCAGCGCAGUGAAGCUCACUUCCCUCUGCCUGGCCCCAACUUGUUUCAGGUCAAAUUAAAAACUACAUGAGUCUGAUGCUGCCUUUUUAAUGUAUUGUUUAUUGUGUGUUGAUUACCAGGAAGCCAUCACUUUGCCUCUGCUUUCUUGGCAGGGCAUAAGGAAAGAGAGGGAGGAAUACACUGGAGAGGGCAAUCUGCUCUGCAAGCAUCUCUAUCCAUAAAAAUUAGGAGCAUCUUAGAUAUGCAAGGUGAAUCAGAGACUAAGGCAACAGUUGCGAUUAAUGUCACCGGAAAUUUAACUUUUUUCCUGGACUUUGUGAGGCCAGUGACACUGACACAUUCAUAGGCACAGCCUUAUUUUUGAAGCAGGCCAAAAUCCCGGAUUUUGCCAGCUCCACCCCCAGUUUCUGGCUGUCAGGAUGCUAGACAGCUGAGGUGAGUCCUUCCACCCCAAUAGCUUCAGGAUGCUGCAGACUGUUUAAAAUGAACUUGUCAGGGAGGCGAAGGCUGCAAAAGUACUCAUUCCAAGGAGUUUAAUGAAAAUAGGUAGCCAGAAUGAAGACAGAGAACAUAAUAAUGUCCCUGUUGAGGGAAGUACAGUGGAGCGAGCUCAGUCCUUACAAGGCACUAAAGAAUUUCAAUUAAAACCUGAGGUAAAGGAAAAGCCCUGCUGGAGCUCACAGACACUGAAAGUCCAACCAUGAGCUUCAGAACAACAAAUCCAGGCAAGUUCUGCCAUCCAGGAACAGCUUGUUUAGCCCUGAUUAGAAUAAAAUGGAUUUAGAAAUAAUAAAUAAACUUUCCUUCCUACCCCACCCAGCUUAGGAUCUGCUAGAGGCUGAGAUGGUCUUACCUGUUCACAGAUGCUUUUCACAAUAACCUAAAGGCUUUGGGCUGCAGCUGCUCAGUCUUGUGGAAACAUUGCUGGUGCAUUUGUGAUGAUAAACACGGUAUUAUUAAAAUGGUUUUCUGAUAUUUGCCUACCCAUAAAUAAUAAUAAGGUGCUGUGCUUACACGGUGAUUCAUUUUUAGACCACUUCAAGGAAGUAAUAUUCAAAAUUAUGGGUUCUGCCAUUGUGGGGACAUGAAGAAGUCUCUCUCUGUUCUUGUUUUGGAGAUAAUGCAUGAAAACUUGGUAGGAGCAGGACUGGAAGGUCCUUGGAGAAUGCUGAAAGAAUUUAUGGAGUCCUGAAGAUGAAACAUGAUCAUAUUCCAGAGGAGCUUUUAACUCAUAUAAACUAAAAAGAUCUGCAGGACUUCACCAGUUGCACAGAAAAGUAGAAGUGAAACAGCUCAGGGUCCGUGGCAGGAGGAAGAGGGUCUUCCAGAUCUGAACACUGAAGCUGCAGGCUAGUAAAGUCUUUUAACAGGCAAAUUAUACAAGGAACCCCUGGAACUUAAUGAAGAGCUUCAGCUCUCCCAUUGAACAGGAGAGAGUAAAACAAAUCUUGGAGAAGACUAGUGGUCUCAGGGCUGGAUGCCGCCAGGCUAUGGAGAGCUGUACGCAUUUGUGUGCAGCUGCUAGUCUCCGUGUUACGGCAGGUGGUGGGAAAGGGGGUCACAGCUCCCUUAGUAAAUGUCUGGUAAAUAAAGUCCUUGGAGAACUGGGUAAUGCUCCAAGUCCUCGCGUUUAUUUCAUUCUUUCCACAGCUGCUUUUUCAUCUCCUUUGUCCACCUAGUCCUGUUCGGGAUGUUGUUGCCAGGAGAAGUGACCAGCACACCCAUCAAACCUCUUCUCUGGUUUCCUUCCCCCUGUCUGGAAAGGGACAUUACUGAGGAUGUAGCUCCAUCUACUGCCAUAAAGCGAAAUGUCGGUUCUCCACCAACAUCUGUCUUGGACCCUUUUGCUGAUGCAUUAAACAAAUGGAACUCAGCA